AAUCUAGCUGCCGUGAAACACUGAGGUACUAUCCACCACUUGGAUGCCAAGGUGUUGUAUGGGUGGAGAUUGAAGACUUCCAUUGGAAAUACAUUUGUGGGUACAGUCAAAUGGAAGUUGUCUAUGAGGACCACGUAUUCUUCUUUCCAGGCUCCUAUAUUCUCUCCUGACACCCUAAGAAAUGAAAGCCUGCUCCUUCAGUGCUGAUUGAGCCUUCUAAGUAAAACAAGUGAAUUUCUGGAGGCUGGAAAGUUCACAAUCAAGGCAUUGACUGAUUCAGUAUCUACUAAGGGGUCGCUUUCUGCUUCCAAGAUGGUUCCUCGUUGCUGUGUACUCCAGAGAGGACAAACGCUGUGUCCUCACAUGACAGAAGGGGAAAAGGGAUGGAGAGCUCUCUGAAGCCUCUUUUCUAAGGGCACUGAUCACAUUCACAAGUGCAGAGCCCUCAUGACUUAAUCAUUUCCCCAAAGGCCCCACCUCUUAAUACUGUUGCAUUGGGGAUUAAGUCUUAACAUGAGUUUUGAAGGGACACAGACAUUCAAAUGAUAGCAA
rnacentral:lncRNA from 10 species